CUGGGUGUGGCUCAGCAGUAGAGCGCUUGGUUCGGGACCAAGAAGUCGCAGGUGCAAUCCCUGUCACCCAGA
rnacentral:tRNA from 1 species